CCGGGUGAUUCAAAUAGAAAUUGAAAUUAAAAUAGAAUGUGCAGAAAGUUAAAUGUUUAUUUGAAUCACCCGGUAUACUUUUUUCCUUAGCCGAGUUUCGACCCAUCAGUAAUUUAUAUAAUAUCGCCAUCUAUCGUUCAGUUACCGAACUAAUCGGAACUAUUUUGAUAUUGAGGUUGGUUCGAAACUCGACUAUUGAAAAAACUAUACCGGGUGAUUCAAAUAAAGAUUGAUAUUAAAAUAAAAUGUGCAGAAAGUUAAAUGUUUUUUUGAAUCACCCGGUAUACUUUUUUCCUUAGCCGAGUUUCGAACCAUCAGUAAUUUAUAUAAUAUCGCCAUCUAUCGUUCAAUUACCGAACUAAUCGGAACUAUUUUGAAAUUGAGGUUGGUUCGAAACUCGACUAUUGAAAAAACUAUACCGGGUGAUUCAAAUAAAAAUUGAAAUUAAAAUGAAAUGUGCAGAAAGUUAAAUGUUUUUUUGAAUCACCCGGUAUACUUUUUUCCUUAGCCGAGUUUCGAACCAUCAGUAAUUUAUAUGAUAUCGCCAUCUAUCGUUCGAUUACCGAACUAAUCGGAACUAUUUUGAAAUUGAGGUUGGUUCGCAACUCGACUAUUGAAAAAACUAUACCGGGUGAUUCAAAUAAAAAUUGAAAUUAAAAUAGAAUGUGCAGAAAGUUAAA